rnacentral:rRNA from 1 species
CCUACGGGAGGCUGCAGUGGGGAAUCUUCCGCAAUGGGCGCAAGCCUGACGGAGCAAUGCCGCGUGAACGAAGAAGGUCUUCGGAUUGUAAAGUUCUGUCCUUAUCGAAGAGAGAGUAUAGAGGGAAAAAUGAUAGACUAGGACGGUAGAGGAGGAGGAAGCCCCGGCUAACUACGUGCCAGCAGCCGCGGUAAUACGUAGGGGGCGAGCGUUGUCCGGAAUCACUGGGCGUAACGGGCGCGGAGGCGGUAAUAUAAGUCAGAUGUGAAAGGUUGGGGCUCAACCCCUAGAGUGCAACUGUUACUUUAUCCCUUGAGUGUGAGAGAGGGAAGCGUAAUUCCUUGUGUAGCGGU